rnacentral:rRNA from 1 species
UACAGAGGUCUCAAGCGUUGUUCGGAUUCAUUGGGCGUAAAGGGUGCGUAGGUGGCAGGGUAAGUCGGAUGUGAAAUCCCGGGGCUCAACCUCGGAACUGCAUUCGAUACUGCUUUGCUGGACGUACUGGAGAGGAGAUUGGAAUUUACGGUGUAGCAGUGAAAUGCGUAGAUAUCGUAAGGAAGACCAGUGGCGAAGGCGGAU